UACAGAGGGUGCAAGCGUUGUUCGGAAUCAUUGGGCGUAAAGGGCGUGUAGGCGGCUGUUCAAGUCGGGGGUGAAAGCCUGUGGCUCAACCACAGAAUGGCCUUCGAUACUGGACGGCUCGAGACCGGAAGAGGUCAGUGGAACUGCGAGUGUAGAGGUGAAAUUCGUAGAUAUUCGCAAGAAUACCAGCGGCGAAGGCGGCCUUCUGGACGGUGACGUGACGCUGAGACGCGAAAGCGUGGG
rnacentral:rRNA from 1 species